rnacentral:ncRNA from 1 species
UCCAGGUGGCAUCUGUCACUGGGAAUGAAAAGGGAACUUCGGUGUAAAUCCGAGACUAUACCCGUAGCUGUGAGUUUCUUAUGAAGUCCGAGCAAUCUCUACGGUCACUGCCUCUUGGCGGGAAGACCGCACGGACGAAACGAGUCAGAAGACCUGCCUUUUUCUG